CCACUUAAAGACUUUGAAAUGGACAUAAUCAGUGUAGGUUGACCUGUGCACAGCACAUCAACAUAGUUAAACACAUAACAUUUAAUACAAUAAUGGUCCAGUUGGUCUAAAAAUGUGACAACGUUCUUGCCAAGGUCACCACCAGGAGUCAUGAUGGUGACACUGACGCAAUUGGAUGACAAAGUCUUCCUCGUGUUACAAUUGUUUGUUAUGAGUCAAAAGUGGACGCGUGAUUUUUUAACAUGGACGUUCACGUCCGGGUCAAAGUCAAGUGGAAACUAAAGGCAAAGCUCGUGGGAAAUGACGGAAAUGAUCAGAACAUCGUUCUCUGUCCCUCUUCCUCUAUGGAUGAGUGGUGAUAUUCCCGUGGGAUAGUGGAGGAGGAGAGAUUUCCAGGGACUGUUGCCUCAUCUUCCCAAAUAAAGCAGGGAACAUGUUCAGACCACCUCACCCUGACUCCAGUAAAGAAACCCUCUGACAGAAACUCUUUUUUUCCCACAGCCAUGCCCUGUGUGUACACAUUCCUUCUUUUUUACAAUACAGUUUCUUUAUUUUAUUUUGGAUUAUUUGUUUUGUAUUGAUGUACACGGUUUUCUUUAAUCUUUAAUCUCAUGUCUUGUUCAUAGCGAUUUAUCGCUGAACAUUCUCUCUAUCACAUCCACAACUUUUCAAUUGCUAUUUUUAUUUAUUGUUGUUUCCUUUAGAGAAAAAAAACGUUUACAUUGAUAAGGACCCUGCAAAGUUGAACCAAUUUUUCCAUGUUCACCUGUGAUACUUCCCUGUAAUCUAUUUCUCUCGUUCUCUCUCUCCCGCCCUCCCUUUUCCUUUCUUCAUCUCGCGCCCAGUUUCACUCUACAAGUCUUGGCUCGUCGAAGAAUUAGAGGAACCACACACUCCUUUUCUCCUCAAUCCUCUGGAACAAUGACAGCGUGUCCUGCUCAUGGGCCACAGCAGGGUGCGCCCCACAUCGCACGCAGGGAACACGGAAGGGUGACGCACACGUGCAAAACCUUUGCCAUUUUCGAGGCCAGAAUCUGUUGCCGUGGUGAUAAAUUUAUCUGUUUUUGCACUUUUUCAGAAGCGAAAAGAUUACGUUAUCGGUCUGAGUUUCAUUCUCUUAAUCCAACUAUAAACCAUGCAAACUGAAAUAGGCGAAUGGUG